rnacentral:rRNA from 1 species
CUUGGUCAUUUAGAGGAAGUAAAAGUCGUAACAAGGUUUCCGUAGGUGAACCUGCGGAAGGAUCAUUAGUGAACGGCCGGGAGGCCUUAAACCCAACAAACCUCGGUGAACAGCGCCUUCGGGCAUGCCCUCGGGCGAUUUACAAACAAAGAAGUCCAGAACGUGAAACAUUAAAGAAACAUAACUUUCAACCACGGAUCUCUUGGCUCUCGCAUCGAUGAAGAACGCAGCGAAAUGCGAAAAGUAAUGUGAAUUGCAGAAUUCAGUGAAUCAUCGAAUCUUUGAACGCACCUUGCACCCUCUGGUAUUCCGGAGGGUAUGCCUGUCUGAGUGUCCUGUAGACUCAAUCCCCCGGGUUUCCGGGCGAUUGGAUUUGGACGUUGCCUCCUCGGCUCGUCUUAAACGUGUUAGCGGCACGAGCGUCCGUCUGACGAAUUAAGUUCCGUCCGGCGAAGCGUAACGACCGCUCAUAACCGCCUUCGGGCAACCUUUGACUCUGACCUCAGAUCAGGUAGGACUACCCGCUGAACUUAAGCAUAUCAAUAAGCGGAGGAAAAGAAACUAACAAGGAUUCCCCUAGUAGCGGCGAGCGAAGCGGGAUGAGCUCAAAUUUGUAAUCUGGCGUCCUCCGGGCGUCCGAGUUGUAAAUUAAAGAAACGUUUUCCGCGCCGGCCGUGUCCAAGUCCCCUGGAAUGGGGUAUCAAAGAGGGUGACAAUCCCGUGCUUGACACGACCACCGGGGCUAUGUGAUACGUUCUCUACGAGUCGAGUUGUUUGGGAAUGCAGCUCUAAAUGGGUGGUAAAUUCCAUCUAAGGCUAAAUAUUGGCGAGAGACCGAUAGCGAACAAGUACCGUGAGGGAAAGAUGAAAAGCACUUUGGAAAGAGAGUUAAACAGUAUGUGAAAUUGUUGAAAGGGAAACGCUUGAAGU